UACGUAGGGUGCAAGCGUUAAUCGGAAUUACUGGGCGUAAAGCGCGCGCAGGCGGUUUUGUAAGUCUGUCGUGAAAGCCUCGGGCUCAACCUGGGAAUUGCGAUGGAGACUGCAAGGCUUGAAUCUGGCAGAGGGGGGUAGAAUUCCACGUGUAGCAGUGAAAUGCGUAGAGAUGUGGAGGAACACCGAUGGCGAAGGCAGCCCCCUGGGUCAAGAUUGACGCUCAUGCACGAAAGCGUGGGGAGCAAACAGG
rnacentral:rRNA from 1 species